rnacentral:rRNA from 1 species
AUUGAACGCUGGCGGCAGGCCUAACACAUGCAAGUCGAGCGGAUGAGAGGAGCUUGCUCCUCGAUUCAGCGCCGGACGGGUGAGUAAUGCCUAGGAAUCUGCCUAGUAGUGGGGGACAACGUUUCGAAAGGAACGCUAAUACCGCAUACGUCCUACGGGAGAAAGUGGCGGAUAUUCGGACCUCACGCUAUUAGAUGAGCCUAGGUUGCUUUAGCUAGUUGGUAGGGUAACGGCCUACCAGGGCGACGAUUCGUAAACGGUCUGAGAGGAUGAUCAGUUACACUCGCACUGUGACACGGUCCAGACUCCUACGAGAUGCAGCAGUGGGAAAUAUUGGACGAUGGGCGAAAGCCUGAUCCAGCCAAGCCGCGUGGGUGAAGAAGGCCCUAGGGUCGUAGAGCACUUUAAGUUGGGAGGAAGGGCUUACAGCGAAUACCUGUGAGUUUUGACGUUACCGACAGAAUAAGCACCGGCUAACUUCGUGCCAGCCGCCGCUGUAA